CCUCCCAGCGUUAUCUCCAAGGAUAGGUUCAAAUCUGUAAUCAUCAGGGGCAGCCAGCCAGAGGGGACGUGUGUGGACAGAGGCUUGGGCUGCUGAGCUGGAACCCUCCCUGGGCUCCCAUCCUGUCCGACACUUUGUUCAGACCCAGCUGCUCUCCCGGGUGAUCCUGGUCCAUCAGGCACCACGCGCACGGGGGUGCUGGGGAGAGGCUGGACUCUCGGGCCUCACGUGGAAUUGCGAUUGCAUUCGCUUUGAAAGGUGUGGAUUUAUCGCUCCCAACUGAGGACGGCUGUGUGCAAUAAAACGACGCUAUCCAACCACAAACGAGGGGGGGCGGGGGGCUGGUUCAGGAGCAGAAGCAGAAGGUGAGAGAGAUAGGCCGGUCAUCUGGAAAAAGAGAAGGUACUGGGGGCGGGGUCACAUUCAGCCCUUCCUGCUGACCUACGGCCCACGCUGCCUGAACCAGGGCCUCGUGUCAUUCCCAGAGCGAGGCCGAGGGAGGAGAGGAGCCGUUGGCAAAGCCCAGAGCUGGUGAUCUGGCGUCUUUCCUAGAAAAACUGCUCAGCAGAAGAGCUGCAGCUUGGAAAUGCCAGUCCUGUCUGGCAGGUCUGACACUCACAGCCCAGCUGGCUGCUGCACGGAGGAGGAGGGCAGCCUGCUCGGUCGGGGAACCCUGCCCACAGCCUCCAGGUACAAAGCCGCACCUUCAGCUCCCCUGUUAACAAAGCACAACAAGAACCUUCAGCUCCCCUGUUAACAAAGCAAAACAAGAACCUGCGCAGUGCAGAAAGGAACUCGCAGUAGAUCCUCCUUGAACACGUCCUUUAACACAAGAACAGAAGGAUACCGACUGCAACCAAAGGUCAACGCCUCCGGAAAAACAAGAAGGGAGACCUUGUCUUUUGUGCCGUGGAUCGUUAAUAUGUGUGAUCCAGCUUCGGGGCCAUGGAACCAGACAACUUCGCCAGGUUUUAAAUCUAGACAAUGUAAGGGCCCCUUGUCAACAUUAUCCUCCCGGAGCCACAUCGCGCUGUGUUCUCAGAUCCCAUGCUUUCAGCAUUUGUGGAUUCCUUCUGAGGCACAAGCCCACCUGUCUCAAGUGUAUGCUUCCCAGGCUCGCCGGUGACCAGGUGCAGCCCCAAGGCUACAGGGACAGAGGAGAACUGCUGUAGGAAACGUCCAGGUCACCUCCUUAAAGGCAUCGUAGAUUCUUUCCCGUCUGGCAGCCCCAUCCACAGUGAAGAAAGCCUCAUGUUGAGGGGAGCAGAAGGCCCCCCUUGCCUGAGUCCCCAGGUGACUGCACCAGAGCCCGCAUUUCACCAUGAAUGUCUCUGGAUGGAAUCUCUUCAUUAUAGCUGCUUCGUCAUCCCCCUAAUUAAUUGUAAUCACUGUCAUCAGGACAAUCUUAGAACAGCCAAUGAAAAUUAAAAUGGAGGCCACAGUGGUGGUCUGUUGUCUUUUCCUUGGCCCGGCAUUGAUCCACAUUCCUGCAGCUCAGCCCUAGAGAAUAACACCUCUGGCGUGUGGCCCAGGAGGGGCACUUCCGAUGCUCCCAUCAACCUCUGGUCCAGGUGAAUGGCACAGUGAACCCAACAGCGCACACCCCUGUCUCAAAAGGAGCCAAUGGGAGACCUGCUUUGGGACUUACACUCGAGCUAUCGGAAAAAGUGAGGACACAGCAGGUGUGACGUGAGCAGGAGAAGCUGGCUGCGUCCAACACCCCUUAGGAAGAGCGUCCCUGAGAAUAAAGCCACACGAGGGACGAGAAAAGGAGAGAGCAGACACUUACACUCUCAUUUCUCAUCAGCUGAGCGCCUAUUGUUUAUGAAAAGCUGAAACUGGAAUACUUCUUGACCCUGGAAGAGGUUGGUUAGUAAAGGAAUGAGCAAGGCAAAAGGUCUUCUUUUUCAUGAAAUAACCCAUCUAAUUGUUGGUGACUCCCUGAGGUACUGUGUCCGGAGGGUCCCAACGCUGUGUGUGAGUUGGCAGAAGGUACGAAGGAGUCUUUUAAUGACCCUGGCCACUGAUAUUAUACAAGGAAUGGCUCUCAUGUGGAGGAAGAAUAAAGCAGCUCUCUGUAUAAAGUGUCCUUUCUGCUACGUGUGCCCAAAGGAACAUGGCCUGUGGUGGGAACAGCGAGGACGGACUCAUUGAUCAAAAUCUUCCACACAAGGGCCAGGAGAAAGGCACUGCCAUGCCAACCUUCACGCCCUCCGCAAGAAUCCGCUCAGGCCAUAACUUGACUCCGAGGACCGAGCAAACCACAGCGACGGGGACGCUCCCAAAGGCCGUGUUUACCGAAGGGCCAGAAGAGGUUUCCCAUAAACCGCCGUCCGGGCCCCACUCUUUUGUCCUGUUUUAUACUUUUACCGCAAUAAACUCCUGUCCAUGUCCCCUGUGGUUAUAGCACCGGGGACGCAGCAAAGACCACCCUGGACACCUAAGGAAGCACCGGCUCCUCCCACACCCCCACCUGGAGAGACCCCUCCAGGGCCUCCCCAAGUCAGAGCCCUGCCCAGGGAGCCCUGCACAGUCUCAGGAUGGCAUCCGGGGCCUGUUCGACCCUGUGAGGCUCUGACCACACGGUCACCUGCAGGCCCCUCUGGAGGAAGAAGAGGAACAUCCUGCUGUGAGCUGGAGAGCAAGGUGGGAUCCCCACCCUCCACAGCCCACACCAAGGCUCCAAAGACCCAGGGGCUUCCUGUGGCAGGUACAACCCCGCCAGGUCAACUGCACCUGCUGCAGCCGAUGUGCCUCCCCAGCCAUAUGGUCCCAUUCUUUCGAACAGCCUUCUCAUUAAGGCCCCCGGUGACUACCGCCAGGUUACCCAGAGAGGUAAACUAUUUUCAGUAGCUCCUCUGGCCUUUAUACAGACAGUCCUCGGUUACGUCGGACUUGAUGUACGUCGUUUCGUGGUUACAUCGCCAUCUCCCAUUUAUUUAUAAUAAUAAUAAAAAAAAAGUUCCACCAUUUUGACGUAUGUACAUAUUGCUUUAUGUUUUUUAUUAUUUACUUACCACAGGUAAAGGCCAGGAAUUGUUACCUUUCUUUUAAUUUUUUUUUGCUGUUUCACUUUGUUACUGCUGUGUACGUGCUCCAGGUGAGUGACGUAGUGCUUAUGUGGGUGGGUCCGGCUUACGGAGAAAAUCGCGUUACGCUGUGCCGUAGGAACGGAUCUCCGACGUAACUCGAGGACCUACUGUAAUCAAAACAAUAAACCACCCAAGGAGAGCCGAACAAGCUUCUCUGAUGAAGAAGGAAAUGUCAUAAAGGCAAGAGAUAAACAGAAAAGUGCGAUUCCAUGAACAUCACAGCAGAAAAGUGUCAGGGAAAUGGAAUUUGGCAAUAUUAUAUAAAUAAAAGACUUUGGAUUAA